rnacentral:rRNA from 1 species
UACGUAGGGACCGAGCGUUGUCCGGAUUCAUUGGGCGUAAAGCGCGCGUAGGCGGCUCGGAAAGUCGGGCGUGAAAUGCCGGGGCCCAACCCCGGAACUGCAUCCGAAACUGCCUGGCUAGAGUCCCGGAGAGGAAGGCAGAAUUCCCGGUGUAGGGGUGAAAUCCGUAGAUAUCGGGAGGAAUACCAGCGGCGAAGGCGGCCUUCUGGACGGUGACUGACGCUGAGACGCGAAAGCGUGGGGAGCAAACAGG